rnacentral:lncRNA from 1 species
GCCAACAAAGGUAAUUAUGUCUGUGCUUUCUCAAUUUCCACACAGGAGAGAGGCACUUUGAGGUUUUCCAAGCUCUCGUCCUAUCUAUGCUUUGGGCGCUGAACAGGGAGGGGACCGUGAUGCCAUGCAUGGCCAACAGCAACGGAUGCCAAGCAAGGCUCAUGGCAUAAGACAGACUCGAGGAACUAAGCAGUGGUCACAGGCAGAGGGAGUUAGCAGUGGAGCUGACUGCAUUGGAAAGCCUUGGGAAAACAGCACGGAAAAUAACAGGCGGCCGGAGCCACGGCCAGG